rnacentral:rRNA from 1 species
UACGGGGGGGGCAAGCGUUGUUCGGAAUUACUGGGCGUAAAGGGCUCGUAGGCGGCCAACUAAGUCAGACGUGAAAUCCCUCGGCUUAACCGAGGAACUGCGUCUGAUACUGGAUGGCUAGAGAUUGGGAGAGGGAUGCGGAAUUCCAGGUGUAGCGGUGAAAUGCGUAGAUAUCUGGAGGAACACCGGUGGCGAAGGCGGCAUCCUGGACCAACACUGACGCUGAGGAGCGAAAGCCAGGGGAGCAAACGGG